rnacentral:lncRNA from 1 species
AUUCGAGAUCAAUUUCACACAUAUUACACCACCAGUUUUUGAUGGUGAUAAUUACUAGCUUGGGCUGUAAGAAUGACAGUUCAUCUUGAAGCAUUAGAUCUUUGGGAGGUUGUAGAGGAAGAUUAAGACAUUCCUCCACUACCUGCAAAUCCUACGAUGACUCAAAUGACGAUUCACAAGGAAAAAAAGACAAGGAAGUCUAAAGCUAAAAUCUGCCUAUUCUCUGCUGUAUCAAGCUCAAUAAUGACGAGGAUCAUGAAAAUGGAAUCUGCAAAGGACAUCUGGGAUUAUCUCAAAUCAGAAUACCAAGGCAGCCAAAGAACCAAAGGCAUGUAGGUGCUUAACUUGAUUGGAGAAUUCGAAAUGUAGAGAAUGAAGGAGACACAAAACAUCAAAGAUUAUGCUGAAAAGUUGCCGAACAUUGUAAAUAAGGUACGGCUACUUGGUAAGGAUUUUCCUGAUGAAAGAAUUGUGUAAAAAGUACUUGUCAUUGUGCCUGAAAAAUAUGAGUCCAAGAUAUUCUCAUUAGAAGAGUCAAAGGACUUAUCAACUAUUUCCUUGGAAGAAUUAGUGAAUGUCUUGUAGGCACUAGAGCAAAGUAGAUUGAUGAGACAAGAAGAAACUGUGCAGGGUGUUUUUCAUGCAAAAGCACAAAACUCAGGAGAAGGCAAAGACAAGAAAUAUAACAAAAAAUACAAGAAACCAGAAAAUUCAACAAGCUGGAAGCCAAGAAAGAGGAGACUUAUCCAUCAUGUCCAUAUUGCAAGAAAAAAAAAAUCCUCAAAGAAAGUGCUCGUGGAGACCUGACAUCAAAUGCAGGAAAUGUGAACAAACUGGACACAUGCAGAGGAUCUGCAGGUCACAACAACACGAAGGUAAAGUAAAUGUUGUUGUUGAGGAACAUCAAGAGGAGUAGCUGUUUGUUGAAACAUGUUUUGCAACAAGCAAUAGCUCUAGUGAUCUUGGUUGAUUGAUAAUGGUUGCACACACCACAUGACCAAUGACCGGGAGCUCUUCAAGGAGCUUGAAAAACUAUUAUUUCCAAAGUAAAAACUAGAAAUGGUGAAUACAUCUCAGUCAAGGGCAAAGAAACUGUGGCUAUAAAAAGUUUAUCAGGUUUGAAGUAUAUCACUGAUGUUUUAUAUGUACUCGACAUUGACCAAAACCUGCUUAGUGUUGGACAGCUAAUUGAGAAAAGUUUCAAAGUCAUAUUUGAAGAUAAAUGGUGCAUGAUCAAAGAUGCAAAAUGUAGAGAUGUAUUUAAGGUAAAAAUGAGAGCAAAAAGUUUUUCUUUGAAUCUAAUGGCGGAGGAGCAAACAGCAUUUCCAAGCAGGGCAAGCAAUGAAGAAUUAUGGCAUUUCCAUCAUACUGGACUUCUAUAUAUGCAGAAGCACAAUCUGGUGAAGGGCUACCAGUGCUGGAAGAUAGAUUAUCUAAUUGUGUGGCUUGUAAAUAUGGCAAACAAAUUAGAAGACCUUUCUCUCAAACUACAUGGAGAGCAACACGCAAGCUUCACCUAGUACACACAGAUGUUGGAAAACCUCAAAAACAUAUUCUUUAAAUGGCAAUACUACUAUAUUGCAUUUAUUGAUCAAAUUUAAAUUUGAGUUUGCUAAUGUAUUUUGGACUUAUAAAACAUGGGUGGAGAAUCAAAGUGGUUGCAGGAUGCAGAUAAUAAGGUCAGAUAAUUGGAAGGAAUACACUUGUGAUAGUUCCAAAAAAUUCUAUGACAAAAUAGGUAUUGAACAUCAGUUCUCAACAUCGUACAUUCCACAACAGAACGUUAAAAGUGAAAGAAAAACAGAAGCAUUAUGAAAAUUACAAGGUGUGUGCUGCAUAAAAAUGAGUUACCAAAGAAACUAUGGGCAGAAGCCACAAACACUGUAGAUUUUUUGCUGAAUAAACUGCCAACCAAAGUUCUGCAGGAAAAACUCCAUUUGAAACUUGGUUUGGUUAAAAAGUAGACUUGCAACAUUUAAGAACUUUUGGUUGCCUCUAUUUUUCUUAUGUGCCACAGGUGAAAAGAGACAAACUUGACAAGAAGGCAAAAUCGAAAGUUUUUAUUAGAGAUAGCAGCUCAUCCAAGGCUUACAGGAUUUUACAACCUCAAAAUGGAAAAAAAUUUGUAAGUAGAGAUAUCAAGUUCAUGGAAGAUAGACAAUGGAAUUGUGAGGGGUCAAUAGAGAAGCAACAGUCAGAAAUUCGACAAAGCAUUGGUGAUAACAUAGAUGAUGAAAUAGUCAGAGGUACAAGGUUAUUAUCUGAUAUUUAUGAAAGAUGUAAUAUUGUUAUUUUUGAGCCUCCGGAGUUUAAAGAGGCGGAGAAGGAUGACAAGUGGAUUGAAACAAUGAAAGAGGAGCUCAGAAUUAUUGAAAAGAAUGUUACCAAGAAGUUGGUAGCCAGACCUCAACACAAAAAGCGUAUACAAGUUAAAUGGAUUUAUAGAACCAAAUUUAGUACAGAUGGUUCUGUUAACAAAUGCAAAGCCAAAUUAGCUGUGAAAGGAUAUGCUCAAGUGUUUGGAGUAGAUUUCUCAAAGACUUUUGCUCCAGUAGCACGACUUGAUACAAUCAAAAUAUUGCUAGCUUUGACAGCACUGAAUGGAUGGAAAGUUUACCACUUGAAUGUAAAAUUUGCCUUUUUAAAUGGUUAUUUGCAGGAGGAGAUAUUUGUAGAGCAGCCGAGGGUUUUCAAGUCAAAGGACAAGAGGAGAAGGUCCACUUGUUAAAGAAAGCAUUGUAUAGUCUUAAAUAGGCUCCUAGAGCUUCGUAUAGCAAGAUUGAUGAACACUUGCAAACUCUUCACUUUGUUAAAAGUCCAAUUGAGGUCACCUUGUAUAUAAAAGGAGCAGAUGCUAAUGUGAUCUUACUUUUUAUUUAUGUUGAUGAUUUACUUGUAACAGGCAGCAAUAAAAAGCUGAUACAAGAAUUUUAAGCUGAAAUGCUCAAAGCCUGAGAUGACAGAUCUUGGGUUGAUGUCCUAUUUUCUGGGAAUGGAAGUGAAGCAAAGUCAUGAAGGAGUCUUCAUAUGUCAAAAGAAAUGUGCAAAGGAAGUACUUAAAAAAUUUCAUAUGGAAGAUUGCAAGAGUACAAGUACACCAUUGAAUUAAAAGGAGAAUUUUCGCAAGAAUGAUGGAGCAAACAAGGUUGACGAAGGACUCUACAGAACCUUGAUUGGUUGCCUAAUGUAUCUUACAGCAACCAGACCUGACAUCAUGUUUGCUGUGAGUUUACUUUCAAGAUUCUUGCAUGGUGGCAAUGAAGUACAUUUUCAAGCUGCAAAGAGAGUAUCAAAGGGACAAUGAACUAUGGCAUCAAAUACAGUUACUGUUAGAAUUUUAUGUUUCAUGGAUUUACUGAUAAUGACUGGGCCGGUUCUAUUGAUGAUAUGAGGAGUACAACUAGUUUCUGUUUCAAUUUUACAUCAGGAAUGUUCUCAUGGGGUUCAAAGAAACAAGAUAUAGUGGCUCAAAGUACAGUAGAAGCCGAGUAUGUAGCAGCAAUUACUGUGGUGAAUCAAGCAAUCUGGAUCAAAAAAUUGCUUGUAGAUUUAUAUAUAGAGCAGGAUAAGCCUACACAGGUUCAUAUAGACAAUCAAGCUGCAAUUUUGAUUGCAAAUAAUUAUGUUUUUCAUUGGAAGACUAAGCACCUCAACAUUAAGUUAUAUUACCUAAGAAAAGUGCAGAAAAAAGGGGAGGUUAAUCUGCUUUAUUGCAGAACUGAGAAUCAAGUGGCAGAAUAUUUUACCAAAUCCUUAUCAAAGUCGGAUUUGAAGAGUUAAGAAACAAAUUGGAUCUCUACAGCUAUUAAGGCAACGAGGAGUGUUAACAAAUUGCCAUAAAAAGUUGCUGUACAUGUCGAAUACGCUGGAAUAAAGGUGCUUAGCUGGUGAUAAAAGACCUAGUCUGUAGGAUAUUGUUACUACUGUUUUAUUUUUGAAUUCAUUGGCUUGGUUUUAGAAAUAUUGUAAGUGUUUCUGUUAAAUAAAAC